rnacentral:rRNA from 1 species
CCUACGGGGGGCUGCAGUGGGGAAUAUUGCACAAUGGGCGAAAGCCUGAUGCAGCGACGCCGCGUGAGCGAAGAAGGCCUUCGGGUCGUAAAGCUCUGUCCUAUGGGAAGAAAGAUGACGGUACCAUAGGAGGAAGCCCCGGCUAACUACGUGCCAGCAGCCGCGGUAAUACGUAGGGGGCGAGCGUUGUCCGGAAUGACUGGGCGUAAAGGGUACGUAGGCGGCUAGAUAAGUCAGAUGUGAAAGGCAUAGGCUUAACCUGUGUAAGCAUUUGAAACUGUCUAGCUUGAGUCAAGGAGAGAAAAGGGAAAUGCCUGGGGGAGCGGUGAAAUGCGGAGAUAACAGGAGGAAUACGAGGGGCGGAGGCGACUUCCUGGCCUUAGACUGACGCUGAGGUACGAAAGCGUGGGGAGCAAACAGGAUUAGAUCCCCGUGAGUC